rnacentral:rRNA from 1 species
CCUACGGGUGGCUGCAGUGGGGAAUAUUGGACAAUGGGGGGAACCCUGAUCCAGCGACGCCGCGUGAGUGAAGAAGUAUUUCGGUAUGUAAAGCUCUAUCAGCAGGGAAGAAAGAAAUGACGGUACCUGACUAAGAAGCCCCGGCUAACUACGUGCCAGCAGCCGCGGUAAUACGUAGGGGGCAAGCGUUAUCCGGAUUUACUGGGUGUAAAGGGAGCGUAGACGGCGAGGCAAGUCUGAAGUGAAAGGCGGGGGCUUAACCCCCGGACUGCUUUGGAAACUGACUGGCUAGAGUGCAGGAGAGGUAAGUGGAAUUCCUAGUGUAGCGGUGAAAUGCGUAGAUAUUAGGAGGAACACCAGUGGCGAAGGCGGCUUACUGGACUGUAACUGACGUUGAGGCUCGAAAGCGUGGGGAGCAAACAGGAUUAGAUACCCUAGUAGUC